GGUUAAGCUAUAAAGAGCGCAGGGUGGAUGCCUUGGCACUAAGAGCCGAUGAAAGACGUGAUAAGCUGCGAAAAGCUUCGGGGAGGAGCAAAUAUCCUUUGAUCCGGAGAUAUCUGAAUGGGGAAACCCGGCUGAGCAAACCUCAGUCACUGCAUGGUGAAUCCAUAGCCAUGCAGAGGGAACCCGGUGAACUGAAACAUCUAAGUAGCCGGAGGAAGAGAAAGAAACAUCGAUUCCCAAAGUAGCGGCGAGCGAAAUGGGAAGAGCCCAAACCAGCGUGCGUGCAUGCUGGGGUUAUGGACUGCAUACGUGAACCGAUUUGUUAGUGGAACUGUCUGGGAAGUCAGGCCAGAGAGGGUGAAAGCCCCGUACACGAAAACAAUAGGAAGCAGCAGGAUCCAGAGUACCACGAGACACGAGAAACCUUGUGGGAAGUCGGAGGGACCACCCUCCAAGGCUAAAUACUCCUUAGUGACCGAUAGCGCAUAGUACUGUGAAGGAAAGGUGAAAAGGACCCCGGGAGGGGAGUGAAAAAGAACCUGAAACCCUGUGUUUACAAGCUGUGGAAGCACGUUAAGGUGCGACCGCGUACUUUUUGUAGAACGGUCCGGCGAGUUGCCGGUACUGGCAAGGUUAAGAGCUUAAGGCUCGGAGCCGAAGGGAAACCAAGUCUCAAAUGGGCGUCAAGUCAGUACAGGCAGACCCGAAACCGGGUGACCUAUCCAUGUCCAGGUUGAAGCGGAAGUAAAAUUCCGUGGAGGACCGGAUCCACAUCCGUUGAAAAGGGUGGGAAUGAGGUGUGGAUAGGGGAGAAAUUCCAAUCGAACCCGGAGAUAGCUGGUUCUCCUCGAAAUAGCUUUAGGGCUAGCCUCAUAUUAGUUUAGCGGAGGUAGAGCACUGAAUUCCUAAGGGGGCGUCAAAGCUUACCAAGGGAUAUCAAACUCCGAAUGCCGCAUAAAUGAUGUAUGGGAGUCAGACUGCACGAGAUAAGUUGGGUAGUCAAAAGGGAAAGAGCCCAGACCUACAGCUAAGGUCCCAAAGUGUGUGUUAAGUGGAAAAGGAUGUGGGAUUUCAAAGACAACUAGGAUGUUGGCUCAGAAGCAGCCACACAUUCAAAGAGUGCGUAAUAGCUCACUAGUCGAGAGGUCCUGCGCCGAAAAUGUCCGGGGCUGAAACACAACACCGAAGCUUAGGAAUGUAUGUAAGUACAUUGGUAGAGGAGCAUUCUUAGUGCGGAGAAGCGGUACCGAUAAGGAGCCGUGGAGCGUUAAGAAGAGAGAAUGCCGGAAUGAGUAGCGAGAUGGAGGUGGGAAUCCUCCAGGCCGAAUAUCCAAGGUUUCCAGAGUAAAGCUGAUCUGCUCUGGGUAAGUCGGGGCCUAAGGCGAGGCUGAGAGGCGUAGUCGAUGGACAACAGGUUGAAAUUCCUGUACCAUGUAUCAUCAGAACUGUGGGGACACAGAAGGACAACACAUCCCGGGAAUGGGAAUACCGGGGCAAGCGAGGUAGGAGUACGGUUGGCAAAUCCGCCGUGCAAUCCGAAGACGUGACGCGCAGCGAACUAAAGUAGCGAAGUGUGUGAUUCCGGCUGUCAAGAAAAGCCGCUAUUGUGUGAUACAUGCCCGUACCGUAAACCGACACAGGUAGAUGAGGAGAGAAUCCUAAGGCCGGCGGGAGAAGCAUUGUUAAGGAACUCGGCAAAAUGACCCCGUAACUUCGGGAGAAGGGGUGCCACAGAGAUGUGGCCGCAGAGAAUAGGCUCAAGCAACUGUUUAGCAAAAACACAGGUCUAUGCAAAACCGUAAGGUGAGGUAUAUGGGCUGACGCCUGCCCGGUGCUGGAAGGUUAAGAGGAGAGGUUAGCGCAAGCGAAGCUUUGAA
rnacentral:rRNA from 1 species